AUAAUUAAUAAUAAUAUGUUUUUAAAAAAAAAAGAAACGGUCAAAAAGACCUCGAAAAGCACAAAAAAAAUCAAGACCGUUGGAUCUAGAUGAACAUUCUGGAUCCUUUAUUACUACCAAAAAAAAAAAAAAAAAAAAACAAAAACAAAAUGAAUGGUGAGAUGCUGAGAUUGAACAUGGACGGUUAGAUCUAGGGGAAGAAGUAAAACCUAAAGGCUAAACCUAGAAAAAACAAUACCACGCCUCAUUUCAUCAGAAUCUCAAACGGCUCUCUCUCCUAACUUCCUAAGCUAUCUCCCUCUUCAUCUGAAUCUCUCCAGCUCCCUCUUCAUCUAAAUCUCUCCUAUUUCUCAUGCCUCUGAAUCUCCCUCUUCAUCAUCCCUCUGCCUCUGAAUCUCCUGAACGGCGAAUGCCGAUCCUACCAUUUUUUUUAUUUAAUUUUGUAAGGUUUGUAUUUUCAUUUAUUCUUAAAAUUUCAGCUUUUUUUUUGGAAGUUCUAAUUAUUUUGUUCAUUUAUUCCGAAUGGUUCGUUUGCAAUGUAUAAUUGAUUAAUUUCUGCUUUUUUAGGAAGUUCUAAUUUUUUUUUCUUUUUUUUUGUAGAUCUGUCAUAUUCUACUCACGGACGAUAUAAGGUAUGAAUUUUGUUUGUAUGAAUUUGAUCUUAGUCGCUAGAUCUUGAUUUUCAGAGGGAGGGGAAUUGAAUUAUGGUUGUGUUGGUUGA